rnacentral:rRNA from 1 species
AGGAUUAACGCUGGCGGCGUGCCUGACACAUGCAAGUCGAACGAGGCCGCAAGGCCUAGUGGCGGACGGGUGAGUAAUGCGUAGGAAUCUACCCACGAGUGGGGGAUAGCCCGGAGAAAUCCGGAUUAAUACCGCAUAUGCCCUACGGGGUAAAGCGGGGGAUCGUAAGACCUCGCGCUGGUGGAUGAGCCUACGUCCGAUUAGUUAGUUGGUGGGGUAAAGGCCUACCAAGCCGAUGAUCUGUAGCUGGUUUGAGAGGAUGAUCAGCCACACUGGAACUGAGACACGGUCCAGACUCCUACGGGAGGCAGC